rnacentral:rRNA from 1 species
CAGUAGCCGCGGGAAUACGUAGGGUGCAAGCGUUAAUCGGAAUUACUGGGCGUAAAGCGUGCGCAGGCGGUUAUAUAAGACAGAUGUGAAAUCCCCGGGCUCAACCUGGGAACUGCAUUUGUGACUGUAUAGCUAGAGUACGGCAGAGGGGGAUGGAAUUCCGCGUGUAGCAGUGAAAUGCGUAGAUAUGCGGAGGAACACCGAUGGCGAAGGCAAUCCCCUGGGCCUGUACUGAAGCUCAUGCACGAAAGCGUGGGGAGCAAACAGGAUUAGAUACCCCCGUAGUCCCUGUCUCUUAUAC